AACGCACAUUGCGCCCUUUGGUAUUCCACUGGGCAUGCCUGUUCGAGCGUCAUUUACACUCUCAAGCACUGCUUGGUGUUGGGUGUUUGUCUGUAUUUGCGCAGACUCACCUUAAAUGUAUUGGCGGCAGCACCUCUAGCUUCUUGCGCAGCACAUUGCGGUAGAAGGAGCUGGUAGUAGGUCUGCAACCACAAAGACAUCUUCAGUUUGACCUCGAAUCAGGUAGGGAUACCCGCUGAACUUAA
rnacentral:misc_RNA from 1 species